UACGUAGGUGGCAAUCGUUGUCCGGAUUUACUGGGCGUAAAGAGCGCGCAGGCGGUCGCUCAAGUCGCGUGUGAAAGCCCCCGGCUCAACUGGGGAGGGUCACGCGAUACUGAUCGACUCGAAGGCAGGAGAGGGUAGUGGAAUUCCCGGUGUAGUGGUGAAAUGCGUAGAUAUCGGGAGGAACACCAGUGGCGAAGGCGACUACCUGGCCUGUUCUUGACGCUGAGGCGCGAAAGCUAGGGGAGCAAACGGG
rnacentral:rRNA from 1 species